rnacentral:rRNA from 1 species
GGGUAGGGGUAAAAUCCUGUCAUCCUGAGAGGACCACCUGUUGCGAAGGCGCCACACUAGAACGGAUCCGACGGUCAGGGACGAAGCCUAGGGGCACGAACCGGAUUAGAUACCCGGGUAGUCCUAGGUGUAAACGCUGUGGACUUGAUGUUGGGAGUGCUCCGAGCACCCUCAGUGUCGAAGCGAAGGUGAUAAGUCCACUGCCUGGGGAGUACGGUCGCAAGGCUGAAACUUAAAGGAAUUGGCGGGGGAGCACUGCAACCUGAGGAUUGUGCGGUUUAAUUGGAUUCAACGCCGGAAAACUCCCCAUAGCCGACGGACAUAUGAAGGCCAGCGUAAUGAGCUUGCCGGAUUGUUCGAGAGGUAGUGCAUGGCCGUCGUCAGUUCGUACCGCAAGGCGUUCUGUUAAGUCAGAU